rnacentral:rRNA from 1 species
UACGUAGGGUCCGAGCGUUGUCCGGAAUUAUUGGGCGUAAAGGGCUCGUAGGCGGUUUGUCGCGUCGGGAGUGAAAACACGGGGCUUAACCCCGUGCCUGCUUCCGAUACGGGCAGACUAGAGGUAUGCAGGGGAGAACGUAAUUCCUGGUGUAGCGGUGAAAUGCGCAGAUAUCAGGAGGAACACCGGUGGCGAAGGCGGUUCUCUGGGCAUUACCUGACGCUGAGGAGCGAAAGUGUGGGGAGCGAACAGG